rnacentral:rRNA from 1 species
AGAGUUUGAUCCUGGCUCAGGACGAACGCUGGCGGCGUGCCUAACACAUGCAAGUCGAGCGGGGUCCAACCGGUGGCAACACCGGGGAAGACCUAGCGGCGAACGGGUGAGUAACACGUGAGAAACCUGCCCCGAAGUCUGGGAUAACCCGAGGAAACUCGAGCUAAUACCGGAUGCCCCCUGCGGAUCGCAUGGUCGCAGAGGAAAGAUUCAUCGCUUCGGGAGGGUCUCGCGGCCUAUCAGCUAGUUGGUGAGGUAACGGCUCACCAAGGCUUCGACGGGUAGCUGGUCUGAGAGGACGAUCAGCCACACUGGGACUGAGACACGGCCCAGACUCCUACGGGAGGCAGCAGUGGGGAAUCUUGCGCAAUGGGCGAAAGCCUGACGCAGCAACGCCGCGUGCGGGAAGAAGGCCUUCGGGUUGUAAACCGCUUUCAGUAGGGACGAAAACAGACGGUACCUACAGAAGAAGCCCCGGCCAACUACGUGCCAGCAGCCGCGGUAACACGUAGGGGGCGAGCGUUGUCCGGAUUUAUUGGGCGUAAAGAGCUCGUAGGCGGCUCAGUAAGUCGGGUGUGAAACCUCCAGGCUCAACCUGGAGACGCCACCCGAUACUGCUGUGGCUAGAGUCCGGUAGGGGAGCGUGGAAUUCCUGGUGUAGCGGUGAAAUGCGCAGAUAUCAGGAGGAACACCAACGGCGAAGGCGGCGCUCUGGGCCGGUACUGACGCUGAGGAGCGAAAGCGUGGGUAGCAAACAGGAUUAGAUACCCUGGUAGUCCACGCCGUAAACGUUGGGCACUAGGUGUGGGGCCUUUUCAACGGGUUCCGUGCCGUAGCUAACGCAUUAAGUGCCCCGCCGUGGGGAUACGGCCGCAAGGCUAAAACUCAAAGGAAUUGACGG